rnacentral:tRNA from 4 species
GCGGUCAUAGCUCAAUAGGCAGAGCACGUGAUUGUGGUUCACGUGGUUGUGGGUUCAAGUCCCAUUGGCCGCC